rnacentral:rRNA from 1 species
UACGAAGGGUGCAAGCGUUACUCGGAAUUACUGGGCGUAAAGCGUGCGUAGGUGGUGAGUUAAGUCUGUCGUGAAAGCCCCGGGCUCAACCUGGGGAAUGGCGAUGGAUACUGGCUCGCUAGAGUGCGGUAGAGGAGAGUGGAAUUCCCGGUGUAGCAGUGAAAUGCGUAGAGAUCGGGAGGAACAUCAGUUGCGAAGGCGGCUCUCUGGACCAGCACUGACGCUGAGGCGCGAAAGCGUGGGGAGCAAACGGG